GACGUAGGGGACGAGCGUUGUCCGGAUUCAUUGGGCGUAAAGCGCGCGCAGGCGGCCGCGUAAGUCGGGUGUGAAACCCCGGGGCUCAACCCCGGGCCUGCAUCCGAUACUGCACGGCUAGAGGUAGGUAGGGGAGAUCGGAAUUCCUGGUGUAGCGGUGAAAUGCGCAGAUAUCAGGAGGAACACCGGUGGCGAAGGCGGAUCUCUGGGCCUUACCUGACGCUCAGGCGCGAAAGCUAGGGGAGCGAACAGG
rnacentral:rRNA from 1 species